rnacentral:rRNA from 1 species
UACGUAGGGUGCAAGCGUUGUCCGGAAUUAUUGGGCGUAAAGAGCUCGUAGGCGGUCUGUUGCGUCGGCUGUGAAAACCCGGGGCUCAACUCCGGGCCUGCAGCCGAUACGGGCAGACUAGAGUUCGGCAGGGGAGACUGGAAUUCUUGGUGUAGCGGUGAAAUGCGUAGAUAUCAAGAGGAACACCUGAGGUGAAGACGGGUUGCUGGGCUGACACUGACGCUGAGUGCGCGAAAGCCAGGGGAGCAAACGGG